UGCAAAAAAUAAGGUGCCUUAUAAGGUGGAUCUUGCCCCUAACCUAUACAUCUAAUUAUGACAUUUUUUUUUUCUAGAACAAAGUGAACUUACUCCAGAAGACAUGUCAAAGCUUGGUGCUUUUUUUCCUGUUACCAUCAUAUGCAUUGGCCAUACUCCCUUACAGAUCUUUUUCCACUGACUUUGGAUAUACUGAGAAACACUUUUCCCCUUUUCUCUGCUCUGACUGCACCAGUCAGUAUUUUGUGAUCUUUCAGCAAUGGUUUUCAAGCAGAAGUGAUCCUCAGACUUCACUUCAUCAUGCCAGGCUCCAGCCCACUGAGCAAAAGCUGCCAGUUCUCUUCAGCUUUUCUACAAGAUCCAGCCUGGCAGAGGCAUUUUCAUCAGCUUUGAGUGUGAGACAGCUCAUCCCUCACACCGAUCUGAUUCACGCUAACGAGACAUACAUGGGCAACUGCCAGCAAUAAAUUUGCAGCCCUGCCAGUUUCCCAAGAAUGUGUUGGUUUCUGCGUAGCUCCAUGAAUACUAUCUCUCACAUUUGAAAAGUUCAGAAGUUCGUUCCCCUUGAGCCAGGCCAAACGAAAGUCUUGCAACCAAAGAUGAGACGUUGAGCAAUAAUUCUCAAAAGGGUAAAGAGGAGCAGCUGUGAAGGAGAGAACAGAGCUGUUUAUACAAAGUGGUUCAUUGUAAACCUGCAGUGAGAUCAGAGCAGUGCCAGCCUGGUGGUUAAAGGACAGCAGCGAGCUGAGAGCUGCAUUUAAAGAGCUAAACAGCAUGAACUGUAUCUUCAUCUGCUCAAAAGCAUUUAUAGCAUUAUGAAGAAGAAUGUAAAAAGAAAGGAGUUUCAAAAGGCACAAAGAGGGCAGAAAUACUUGGUCACAGUGUCACAGUGGUAUCAGAAACAAGUCAGGUAUCUUAUGCACUCAAAUCAAUGUGUGUUAUAUCAUGUAUAUUGCUGUUUAUGUCAUGGCUAUCCCUCUAGUUUGGACAAGAAAAUUACAGUGGCUUUGCUACAUACUUCUUCAAAGUAAUGUUUUAUUGUUUCUUUUUCUUCCUUAAUACUUCUUUUCAAGAGAAGUGUGGAU